rnacentral:rRNA from 1 species
AGGGAAUCUUCCGCAAUGGACGAAAGUCUGACGGAGCAACGCCGCGUGAACGAUGAAGGUUUUCGGAUCGUAAAGUUCUGUUGUUAGGGAAGAACCGCCGGGAUGACCUCCCGGUCUGACGGUACCUAACGAGAAAGCCCCGGCUAACUACGUGCCAGCAGCCGCGGUAAUCCGUAGGGGGCAAGCGGUGUCCGGAAUUAUUGGGCGUAAAGCGCGCGCAGGCGGCUUCUUAAGUCAGGUGUGAAAGCCCACGGCUCAACCGUGGAGGGCCAUCUGAAACUGGGAAGCUUGAGUGCAGGAGAGGAGAGCGGAAUUCCACGUGUAGCGGUGAAAUGCGUAGAGAUGUGGAGGAACACCCGUGGCGAAGGCGGCUCUCUGGCCUGUAACUGACGCUGAGGCAUGAAAGCGUGGGGAGCAAAC